AUUGUUUUGGCAGAUUAGUGCAUAGGGUUUAGAAUCUUAGUAUGUAAAUAAAUAUUUACAAGCAAUA
rnacentral:tRNA from 1 species